AGACUACAUUCAUUUCCUUGGAGCCCAAGAACUUUCAUUCUUCUAGAAACCCACCUAAUUACAAAUUGAACCAAUUUCAGAAUUAUUUUUUCAAUACAAAAACCAAAUCAGUUAACAAAAUUGGAAAUCAUCCCUUGUUUCCUUCCUGUUUCGAACCACAGUCACCAACAAACAACCAUCACCGCGACAACCGGCAGCCAUCUACCACCACCAAUCGCCAGCUCCUCCACCAUCUCAACACCAUCGCACCACCAUCAUCCCUCACCUCUCCCGCUCUUCUCCUCCCAUGCACUCCCCUGCCUCGCUCUGUCUUUUCCCUUUUGCGGCACCACCAACGUCGCGCCACCACUCCCAACCUCCCCCACCACCUUGUAAACCAACUCCCGCCCCCACAUACUCCGGCGAGCUAUAUAGUCGCCGCCCAGAACCGCUCCAAGUCACCACCACCAAUUCCCCUGUUCCUCUCUGUUCGCACGACCACCUCCCCUCCCUUGCUGUUUCACCACCGCGAAACCACCACCACCACUGUCGCCUCUCAGCCUUGGUUCCGCGCUGCGACACCCAUACCGCCGCCCACCUCCGCCCACCAUCUCUCCUCUCCUUCCUCUUCGUGCUUCUCCUUCGUGCCCUGCCUCCUCUGUUCCUCGUGCAAAAGAAGAAAAAAAAAAGAGAGAAAAGGGGUUUCAAGAAAACAAAUUCCCAAAUUGGUUUGCUGCUUUUUAUUCCCUUAAGUCAGGCCCAAAUUUCCCUUGGCCCAAAUUACUAAAAAUCGAACUCGGAGCUCAGGAAGCACGGUCCAUCGAACAGGGAAUAUUAACUACGGUUGAGGUACGAAGAAGAUCAUGGGAUGCCUUAGAGUGAGGAUGCAACCAUCAAAUUCACGAUCGAUGUUUAAUAAAGAUAAUCAUGUAUCACUAGUAAUAAUGGAUGAACAAAUUAAACUCUAAGUCAAAUUUCAAUUACUGAGUUGGAUUUUAAUAUUUAUGUUUAAUCAAUGUUAGGAAUAUUUAUUAAAUUUCAUUUAGAUUUCGAUGUAAAUAUUAAAGAAUUAAUCAAAGUGAAGUAUAAUUACUGUUA